UAUUAGACCAAGGGAAAAAAGCUUCUGGAGGGGUGUUUGGCUCGAGGUCAUGGUACAAAAGACCCUAGGGUGAAAUUACUCCAAACCAUGCAUUUAACACACUGGAGAUGAUCUGUAAUGUGAUCA